GCAUCCUCUUUGUGAACCUGCUAUCACUCUCCCUCCGCUAGUAGCAGAUAGUGUGUUGCAAAUCACAAGUGGCUGGGAUCAGCUCCGGCACACACUGGAGUCAAGCUGUGCUCGGCUGCUUUGUGUUCUGGUUGCCUAGUCUAUUUUUUAUGGAAGCCGCAACAAGCUACACUGAGCAGAUCGGGCUGGCAGGAAGUCAGAGCCACAGGAACGGCAUGGAGCUUGCGUGUUGCAUUCCUCCCUGUGAUGACAUACGACACCUGGAAGUGAAGUCCAGCAGCGAGGUUGCUGCAGUUAGUACCGUUCCUCUAAUCAAUGCAGACUGACAGGGCGUCCAUGCUUUUCCAGCUCCAUCGGAUAAAUGGCAGAUGGCAUUGUGAUGACACCAGGAUUGCCACAGUAACACAAUGGAGAUAUAACCACAGUUGAGAGUGGCACAGCGGAAAUGUCUGGUCACGUCUCUCCAUAUAAAGACCAUAGAUGACAACAUGUGACAUAUGAGGGUCCUGAAGGGUUGUCCCAUUUCAUAGGGGGAGUUUUCCAUUGUAACUCAAGAGUGCACAUGAAAAUGAGGGGUAGGGGAAGAAAUGGAAUGUAUGGGGAAUGAAAUGGAAAUGUAAUCCACCAACUCACAGUUGGGAUGGACUGACCAACAUCUGGAGCUUCAUUUAUCUUAGAUAUUGUAAUUCCAGUUUCACUUAAACAUUGCAAAGUGUUUGAUCCAUAACAUCCAACAUGCACAUGUACACUAAUGUUAAUGUUAAGUUGAAGUGUCAUCUUGUUGAAUCCAAAACUUCUUCUUUAUGCUUCUCCAGAUGAGUACACCAACCUGCACCUUUCAUAGGAGACACAUUGCUGCUCUGGCCGGACCCCACUACUGUAUGUGGGUCUCUGUGUAAUAGUUAUGGCUAGGAGAUACUUUCUUCACAGCUCAGUUAUUGUGUUGUAACAGAUUGGCAUGAUCUUUAAUGCCCCUUGUAUGCUUGAAUGUCAGCAUUUGCCAGGCUAGGUUAGACUCUCAUCUGGCUUUUACUACCCCCUCCUGUUUAUUUUAUGGUGCAGUACCCUCC